UACGUAGGGUGCGAGCGUUGUCCGGAAUUAUUGGGCGUAAAGAGCCCGUAGGCGGUUUGUCGCGUCGACUGUGAAAACCCGAGGCUUAACCUCGGGCCUGCAGUCGAUACGGGCAGACUAGAGUUCGGUAGGGGAGACUGGAAUUCCUGGUGUAGCGGUGAAAUGCGCAGAUAUCAGGAGGAACACCGGUGGCGAAGGCGGGUCUCUGGGCCGAUACUGACGCUGAGGAGCGAAAGCGUGGGGAGCGAACAGG
rnacentral:rRNA from 1 species